rnacentral:rRNA from 1 species
GAUGAACGCUGGCGGCGUGCCUAAUACAUGCAAGUAGAACGCUGAAGGAAGGAGCUUGCUCUUUCCGGGUGAGUUGCGAACGGGUGAGUAACGCGUAGGUAACCUGCCUGGUAGCGGGGGAUAACUAUUGGAAACGAUAGCUAAUACCGCAUAACAGUAGAUGUUGCAUGAUAUCUACUUAAAAGGUGCAAUUGCACCACUACCAGACGGACCUGCGUUGUAUUAGUUAGUUGGUGAGGUAACGGCUCACCAAGGCGACGCUACAUAGCCCACCUGAGAGGAUGGGCGGCCACCCUGGGACGGUGACCCGGCCCAGAGUGCCAGGGGAGGCGGCAGUAGGGAAACUUGGGCAAGGGGCGGAAAUCUGAGCGAGCAACGCCGCGGGAGGGGAGAAGGAUGUCGGGUCGGGAAGCUCGGUUGUAGGGGAAGAAAGAGUGUGAGAGUGGAAAGUUCACAGUGUGACGGUAUCUGAUCAGAAAGGGACGGCUAACUACGUG